rnacentral:rRNA from 1 species
GACAGAGGGGGCAAGCGUUGCUCGGAAUUACUGGGCGUAAAGGGCGCGUAGGCGGCCUGUCAAGUCAACUGUGAAAUCUCCGGGCUUAACUCGGAACGGUCAGUUGAUACUGUCAGGCUAGAGUGCAGAAAGGGCAAUCGGAAUUCUUGGUGUAGCGGUGAAAUGCGUAGAUAUCAAGAGGAACACCUGAGGCGAAGGCGGGUUGCUAGGCUGACACUGACGCUGAGGCGCGAAAGCCAGGGGAGCAAACGGG